AUUUUGACUGUACAAAGGUAGCAUAAUCAAUAGUCUCUUAAUUGGUGACUUGUAUGAAAGAUUGGAUGAGAUAUAUACUGUCUCUAAUUAAUUUAUUGAAAUUAAUUUUUUAGUAAAAAAGCUAAAAUAAUUUUAAAAGACGAGAAGACCCUAUAGAGUUUAAUAAUUUAUUUAAUUAUUAUUAAUAUAUAAUUUUUAAAAUUAAAAUUAAAUAAAUUAUUUUGUUGGGGUGAUAAAAAAAUUAAAUUAACUUUUUUUAAUUAUUAACAUUAAUUUAUGAAUAAAUGAUCCAUUUAUAGUGAUUAAAAGAAAAAAUUACCUUAGGGAUAACAGCGUAAUUUUUUUUUUUAGUUCAAAUAGGAAAAAAAGUUUGCGACCUCGAUG
rnacentral:rRNA from 1 species